AUUGAACGCUGGCGGCAGGCUUAACACAUGCAAGUCGAGCGGGGGAGGUUGCUUCGGUAACUGACCUAGCGGCGGACGGGUGAGUAAUGCUUAGGAAUCUGCCUAUUAGUGGGGGACAACAUUCCGAAAGGAAUGCUAAUACCGCAUACGACCUACGGGGGAAAGCAGGGGAUCUUCGGACCUUGCGCUAAUAGAUGAGCCUAGGUCGGAUUAGCUAGUUGGUGGGGUAAAGGCCUACCAAGGCGACGAUCUGUAGCGGGUCUGAGAGGAUGAUCCGCCACACUGGGACUGAGACACGGCCCAGACUCCUACGGGAGGCAGCAGUGGGGAAUAUUGGACAAUGGGCGGAAGCCUGAUCCAGCCAUGCCGCGUGUGUGAAGAAGGCCUUUUGGUUGUAAAGCACUUUAAGCGAGGAGGAGGCUCUUAAGGUUAAUACCCUUGAUGAGUGGACGUUACUCGCAGAAUAAGCACCGGCUAACUCUGUGCCAGCCGCCGCCGUAAGAC
rnacentral:rRNA from 1 species